rnacentral:rRNA from 1 species
CCCGCUGAACUUAAGCAUAUCAAUAAGCGGAGGAAAAGAAACUAACAAGGAUUCCCCUAGUAACUGCGAGUGAAGCGGGAAAAGCUCAAAUUUAAAAUCUGAGGGUCUUUGCGGCCUUCCGAGGUGUAAUCUAGAGAAGUGCUCUCCGCGCUGGACCGCGCACGACUCUCCUGGAGCGGAGCGUCAUAGAGGGAGAGAAUCCCGUCUGUGACACGGACUACCAGGGCUUAUGUAAUGCGCUCUCAAAGAGCCGAGUUGUUUGGAAAUGCAGCUCUAAAUGGGUGGGAAAUUCCAUCUAAAGCUAAAUAUGAGCGAGAGACCGAUAGCGAACAAGUACCGAGAGGGAAAGAUGAAAAGAACUUUGGAAAGAGACUUAAACAGUACGUGAAAUUGUUGAAAGGGAAGCACUCGAAGUCAGUCGCGCUGGCCAGGAAUCAACCUUGCUUUUGCUUGCCGUACUCUCUGGCUAAUGGGUCAGCAUCAAUUUUCACCGGGGGAUAAAGGUCAGGGGAAUGUGGCAUCUUCUGAUGUGUUAUAGCCUCUCGUCGCAUACAUCGGUCGGGAUUGAGGAACUCAGCACGCCGCAAGUCCGGGUUUUUAACCACGUACGUGCUUAGGAUGCUGGCAUAAUGGCUUUAAUCGACCCGUCUUGAAACACGG